UACAGAGGGGGCAAGCGUUGUUCGGAAUUACUGGGCGUAAAGGGCGCGUAGGCGGCCUGUUAAGUCGAACGUGAAAUCCCUGGGCUCAACCCAGGAACUGCGUCCGAUACUGGCAGGCUUGAAUCCGGGAGAGGGAUGUGGAACUCUCGGUGUAGGGGUGAAAUCUGUAGAUAUCGAGAGGAACACCGGUGGCGAAGGCGGCUUCCUGGCCCGUACCUGACGCUGAGGCGCGAAAGCGUGGGGAGCAAACAGG
rnacentral:rRNA from 1 species